GACGAACGCUGGCGGCGCGCCUAACACAUGCAAGUCGAACGAGCGAGAGAGAGCUUGCUUUCUCGAGCGAGUGGCGAACGGGUGAGUAACGCGUGAGGAACCUGCCUCAAAGAGGGGGACAACAGUUGGAAACGACUGCUAAUACCGCAUAAGCCCACGGUGCCGCAUGGCACAGAGGGAAAAGGAGCAAUCCGCUUUGAGAUGGCCUCGCGUCCGAUUAGCUAGUUGGUGAGGUAAUGGCCCACCAAGGCGACGAUCGGUAGCCGGACUGAGAGGUUGAACGGCCACAUUGGGACUGAGACACGGCCCAGACUCCUACGGGAGGCAGCAGUGGGGAAUAUUGCACAAUGGGGGAAACCCUGAUGCAGCGACGCCGCGUGGAGGAAGAAGGUCUUCGGAUUGUAAACUCCUGUUGUUGGGGAAGAUAAUGACGGUACCCAACAAGGAAGGA
rnacentral:rRNA from 1 species